rnacentral:rRNA from 1 species
GACAGAGGGGGCAAGCGUUGUCCGGAAUUACUGGGCGUACAGCGCACGCAGGUGGCUAGUCAAGUGGCGUGUGAAAGCCCCGCGCUUAACGCGGGGAGGCCACGGCAAACUGGCUGGCUCGAGCGCUGCAGAGGGUGGGGGAAUUGCCGGUGUAGUGGUGAAAUGCGUAGAGAUCGGCAGGAACACCAAGGACGAAGGUACCCACCUGGGCAGCUGCUGACACUCAUGUGCGACAGCGUGGGGAGCGAACCGG